rnacentral:lncRNA from 1 species
CUUAAGACCAGGGAGGUGGAGGGUGGUACCUGGCACUUUUUUUUUUUUUGUCAUUAUUGGCCUUCGUAUCAUCCAAAAAGCUCUGAAAACCAAGAAUUCUAUUUUAACAUCCUAUUACCAGAAUAUAGACAUCUUCUGUAACCAGAAGCACUCCAAGAACAACACUUUCAUUCAUGGACUUAACAACUACAUUAGAUCAUACCAGCCUGUCACUUCAAAGUCACCAGUGUCAAGGAACAUUUCAAAUGGGCUUAAAGCAUUGUUUUAGAGGUGUGAAUAAUGAAGCCAAGGACAUUAGCAACAUCAUGAAAGCAGAUUCCACGUGCUGCACACUUCAUAUGCACAUCGUUAUUUCCUGCUGUCACCUCUGUGGCUCUUUAUUCAUAUGAUGAAGCCCUGCC